GACGAACGCUGGCGGCGUGCUUAACACAUGCAAGUCGAACGGAAAGGCCCUGCUUUUGUGGGGUGCUCGAGUGGCGAACGGGUGAGUAACACGUGAGUAACCUGCCCUUGACUUUGGGAUAACUUCAGGAACCUGGGGCUAAUACCGGAUAGGAGCCCCUGCUGCAUGGUGGGGGUUGGAAAGUUUCGGCGGUUGGGGAUGGACUCGCGGCUUAUCAGCUUGUUGGUGGGGUAGUGGCUUACCAAGGCUUUGACGGGUAGCCGGCCUGAGAGGGUGACCGGCCACAUUGGGACUGAGAUACGGCCCAGACUCCUACGGGAGGCAGCAGCGGGGAAUAUUGCACAAUGGGCGGAAGCCUGAUGCAGCAACGCCGCGUGCGGGAUGACGGCCUUCGGGUUGUAAACCGCUUUCGCCUGUGACGAAGCGUGAGUGACGGUAAUGGGUAAAGAAGCACCGGCUAACUACGUG
rnacentral:rRNA from 1 species